GGUCUGACGAGGCUGGUGUUUUUUCAGUGACAACCUGGCUAGGCCAUUGCACUCCGGCCGUGCAGACGCACAAAUUCCCCAAAUGUGGGAAUCUCGACUGCAUAAUUUAUGAUAGUGGGGGACUGUGUUUGCGCUCUCCCCUG
rnacentral:snRNA from 1 species